rnacentral:rRNA from 1 species
GACGAACGCUGGCGGCGUGCUUAACACAUGCAAGUCGAACGGUGAAGCGCCUUCCUUUUUGGUGGGUGUGGAUGAGUGGCGAACGGGUGAGUAACACGUGAGUAACCUGCCCCCUCCUUCUGGAUAACCGCAUGAAAGUGUGGCUAAUACGGGAUAUUCUGGGUCUGUCGCAUGAUGGGUCUGGGAAAGAUAUUGUUUCGGUGGGGGAUGGGCUCGCGGCCUAUCAGCUUGUUGGUGGGGUGAUGGCCUACCAAGGCGGUGACGGGUAGCCGGCCUGAGAGGGUGGACGGUCACACUGGGACUGAGACACGGCCCAGACUCCUACGGGAGGCAGCAGUGGGGACUAUUGCACAAUGGGCGCAAGCCUGAUGCAGCGACGCCGCGUGAGGGAUGGAGGCCUUCGGGUUGUGAACCUCUUUCGCCAGUGAAGCAGGCCUGCCUCGUUUGUGGGUGGGUUGACGGUAGCUGGAUAAGAAGCGCCGGCUAACUACGUG